rnacentral:rRNA from 1 species
AACCACGAUAGGUCACGAUUUCUGGAAUGGAUCAUGGCUUAAAUCUACAUGGCCCCUGGAUUGGACUGCGGCCGAUCAGGCUGUUGGUGAGGUAAUGGCCCACCAAACCUAUAACCGGUACGGGCUCUGAGAGGAGAAGCCCGGAGAUGGGCACUGAGACAAGGGCCCAGGCCCUAUGGGGCGCAGCAGGCGCGAAACCUCUGCAAUAGGCGAAAGCCUGACAGGGUUACUCUGAGUGAUUUCCGCUAAGGGGAUCUUUUGGCACCUCUAAAAAUGGUGCAGAAUAAGGGGUGGGCAAGUCUGGUGUCAGCCGCCGCGGUAAUACCAGCACCCCGAGUGGUCGGGACGAUUAUUGGGCCUAAAGCAUCCGUAGCCGGUUCUGCAAGUCUUCCGUUAAAUCCAGCCGCUCAACGGAUGGGCCGCGGAGGAUACUACAGGACUAGGAGGCGGGAGAGGCAAGCGGUACUCAGUGGGUAGGGGUAAAAUCCUUUGAUCCAUUGAAGACCACCAGUGGCGAAGGCGGCUUGCCAGAACGCGCUCGACGGUGAGGGAUGAAAGCUGGGGGAGCAAACCGGAUUAGAUACCCGGGUAGUCCCAGCUGUAAACGAUGCAGACUCGGUGAUGGGCUAGCCUUGUGCCAGCCCAGUGCCGCAGGGAAGCCGUUAAGUCUGCCGCCUGGGGAGUACGGUCGCAAGACUGAAACUUAAAGGAAUUGGCGGGGGAGCAAAUCACUAGUGA